rnacentral:snRNA from 1 species
CUAGAGAUGAUUAGCAUGGCCCUGUGCAAGGAUAACAUACAAAUUUGUGACGUGUUCCCGGUUUUU